AAACAUGUCAGUUUCGUCUUUUGUUGUAUCAUCUGCAUAUCCUUUGAGACUGGCAAUGUUUGCUACCAUGGGAAAAUCAAAUGGGAUGGGAGUGUGUGUAUGGUGAGCAGAGUUUAAGCCCCUCAGGGUACACAGGAGUAAAUAAAGAAAACGUUUGUUAAGGGGGAAGGAACGUCAAGCAGCCGUCCUCAGAGAUUUUCUAGCCACCUGGGAUGCCCACUUUAGUGUCCUAUGUACACACCUGGCUUAUAUCCUUCACAGUGGAAAUUUUCUUGGUGUCUACCAGGAUGUGGCCUUCACCUGUGACCAUGAGGCCCAGCUGAGAGCAGCUCAGCUCGGUGCAGCCUUCUGUAAUGGGGAGAGACACAGUCAAAGAAAGAAACAUCCCAGUCGCCCAGCUCCAGUGUCAGCUUCAUGCAGUAGGCCAGCGACUGGAGCCAGAUGUGAGCUGAGCCCAAGCGGACGACCUCGACAGGAUCCCAGAAAGGGUCGUCAUCUCGAGCCACAGGGCCGUGAUCUCCAUCUAGAAAGCGCUGGUAAAGUUCCUGCAUUAGGAAUUUCCUAUUGAUGAACUUGGCUUUUGACCAUAUCCACACCUGGAAACACAGAGGAAAGCAGAGAGACACAGUGUGAAAUCGCUGCUCUCAGAUCAGCACACGGGAGAGGCCAGCAGUCAGGAGGGGGCUCACCGAGUUUGUCUGCACUCGCUCCCUCCGCAGCCGCCCUCUCCAGCUGGAAGAAGUCGUAAUCGAACCUGCUCAGGUCCUCACUGCCCCACUCCGAAGGAAACCCCACGUACAGGUGAGGUCAGAGGAGUGAAGUGACUUGCCCAAGACCACACAGUGAGUCAGGAGCAGGCCUGUCCCUCCAGCAGUGGUGCCAUGUUGUCCCCAAGCCAUGGUGGCAGAGGAGCUGGUGUGAACGCCCCAUCCUGCCACGUCUGUGAUGUGGGCACCUCACAUGACUGUCCCCUCCCAGCUCUUGGGGGGGACCUAGGACAUUCUGUGAGCCUGCAGGAAAGUUUACCAAAUGCUGCAGCUUUGUCCUGGUGGUGAUGGGCACCCCGUUAACGGCAACCUUGCAUUUGCUAUGUGGAGUGACCGUCACUUUACCGUCGGCAUUUGUGAAGGAAGCGUGUUUAUCUGAAAUUCUAAGAAGAUGAGAGUCAAAGACACCCAGCAAACGGCGGUUUCCGUGAGCAGGGUUGGAGCCCAGGAAGCAAACCAGCACUGCACCCUAGAUUUCAGCCAGAGGACGAAAGCCCUGCCCUCAGCUUUCUCAGACCAGCCCUGGAGUAGGUGGCCCGGGGAGACCUGGGCAGUGUCCCUGCUUGUCCUGCAGACUGUGUGGCUCUGCAGACCUCUAGAUGGAGGAGGCACAAUUCUCUAAUGCUGGACGAGGACACUGAUCAUGGAAACUCACCCCAAACCUUGAAUCGUGAUAGCAUUUGAGGCAGCCUGACCGGUGCCACAUGAACCUGAAAGGAAUCAAGAUAUAAUUUAUUUUGAAAAUAAAUCAGACACUUUCAGAAUUUGAGCGUAAGAAGUUAACAUGUCUGAUGCGUUGGAAGUGACGUUUUCUCUACAGUGGGAUGGUACUGAAGGGAUUUUUCCAGUUGGGAUUUUCAAUCAUAAUGGUACUUAGACAUACUUUUCUUUCUGCCUUGUGUGUGGGGGGAAGAGCGGGGAUGUUCCUAACUUUUAAAAAGUUCCACCUUCUUCAUGAGCAUUCUGGAGGAAGACACCAUUAGGUCUGGGCCUUAGGAGACCCACUGAAUACUGGCCACAGCAGAGGUUCUGGUGUUUGAAGCUCCGUUUCUGUGUAGUGACUGACCCCAAGGAGUGCAGACAUGUCACCCC
rnacentral:lncRNA from 10 species